AUUGGAUUGGAUCUGUUUACGAAGUGAUAGGGCUUUCCCCAAAACACGUCUUCAAACCUGCAAGGACAGAUGGACAAUACUCUUUCAUUAAAAAAUUAAAUCUUUUUAAAGAGAAGUAUUCACCCCCC
rnacentral:lncRNA from 1 species